GUGGGGAAUCUUGGACAAUGGGGGAAACCCUGAUCUAGCCAUGCCGCGUGAGCGAUGAAGGCCUUAGGGUUGUAAAGCUCUUUCAGCUGGGAAGAUAAUGACGGUACCAGCAGAAGAAGCCCCGGCUAACUCCGUGCCAGCAGCCGCGGUAAUACGGAGGGGGCUAGCGUUGUUCGGAAUUACUGGGCGUAAAGCGCGCGUAGGCGGACCAGAAAGUUGGAGGUGAAAUCCCAGGGCUCAACCUUGGAACUGCCUUCAAAACUCCUGGUCUGAGUUCGAGAGAGGUGAGUGGAAUUCCGAGUGUAGAGGUGAAAUUCGUAGAUAUUCGGAGGAACACCAGUGGCGAAGGCGGCUCACUGGCUCGAUACUGACGCUGAGGUGCGAAAGCGUGGGGAGCAAACAGGAUUAGAUAACCCGGUAGUCC
rnacentral:rRNA from 1 species